rfam:Schistosoma mattheei strain Denwood, Zambia genome assembly, scaffold: SMTD_scaffold0023939
AUCCAGCUGACGAGUUCCAAAUAGGAUGAAAUGCGCGUCUUGGCCAU